ACACGACUACAUUAGAUACCCGGGUAGUCCUAGCCGUAAACGAUACUCGCUAGGUGUCGGCCACGGUGCGACCGUUGUCGGUGCCGUAGGGAAGCCGUGAAGCGAGCCACCUGGGAAGUACGGCCGCAAGGCUGAAACUUAAAGGAAUUGGCGGGGGAGCACAACAACGGGUGGAGCUUGCGGUUUAAUUGGAUUCGACGCCGGAAAUCUUACCGGGACCGACAGCAACAUGAAGGCCAAGCUGAAGACCUUGCCGGAUUAGCUG
rnacentral:rRNA from 1 species